rnacentral:rRNA from 1 species
AUGAGAGAGGGUGACCGGAAGGAGCGUGACGACCUGCAGACAAAGGGCGGUGGCGGCGCCGCUCGAUUUGAUCUGCGGGAUAGAGAAGAUGAGAGGGAGAGAGAGAAGGAAGAACAUGAGAGGAGGGAGAAAGAGAGAGGAAAGAGGAGAGGGGGUCGACGGCCAACAGGAGAGGACCACCGGAAGGAGUGCCGCCGGCUCGUCGUCUUCCACCGCCGGCGUCGGCCUGCACCGGCGAGGUCGGGCGGGACCUUGCUUCCAGGGCGGCUUGACCACAGUCUACAGGUGACCACGUCCCUUCUCUCCCUUCUCCCGUAUGUAUCUCUCUAUGUCAUUUCUUCUCCUUUCUCACACGAAGAAACACACAGAACAGUAAAAAUGGAGGAUUUGGGGGCUGCUCAGUUUUGGAGUAGCAAACCAUGGAGGAUAUGGGGCUGCACGUGCUUGGAGCAGCAAGCCAUGGCAAAGAAGGAUAGGGAGGCAGAAGAGAGGACAUGUUGA